AACGACUCUCGGCAACGGAUAUCUCGGCUCUCGCAUCGAUGAAGAACGUAGCGAAAUGCGAUACUUGGUGUGAAUUGCAGAAUCCCGUGAACCAUCGAGUCUUUGAACGCAAGUUGCGCCCGAAGCCAUUAGGUUGAGGGCACGUCUGCCUGGGCGUCACGUAU
rnacentral:rRNA from 1 species